rnacentral:rRNA from 1 species
AAUCAACGCUGGCGGCGUGCCUCAGACAUGCAAGUCGAACGAUUAAAGCCCUCUUCGGAGGGUGCAUAAAGUGGCGCACGGGUGAGUAACACGUAAGUAAUCUACCUUCGAGUGGGGAAUAACGUUCGGAAACGAACGCUAAUACCGCAUAAUGCAGCGGCAUCUAUGAUGACAGUUGUUAAAGACUUAUCGCUUGAAGAGGAGCUUGCGGCAGAUUAGCUAGUUGGUAAGGUAACGGCUUACCAAGGCGACGAUCUGUAUCCGGUCUAAGAGGACGGUCGGACACACUGACACUGAAUAACGGGUCGGACUCCUACGGGAGGCAGCAGUCGGGAAUUUUGGGCAAUGGGCGAAAGCCUGACCCAGCAACGCCGCGUGAAGGAUGAAGUUUUUCGGAAUGUAAACUUCGUAAGAAUAGGAAGAAUAAAUGACGGUACUAUUUGUAAGGUCCGGCUAACUACGUGCCAGCAGCCGCAGUAACAC